UACAGAGGUCCCAAGCGUUGUUCGGAUUCACUGGGCGUAAAGGGUGCGUAGGCGGUCUGGUAAGUCUGAUGUGAAAUCUCACAGCUUAACUGUGAAACUGCAUUGGAUACUAUCCGGCUAGAGGAAUGGAGGGGAGACUGGAAUACUUGGUGUAGCAGUGAAAUGCGUAGAUAUCAAGUGGAACACCAGUGGCGAAGGCGAGUCUCUGGACAUUACCUGACGCUGAGGCACGAAAGCCAGGGGAGCAAACGGG
rnacentral:rRNA from 1 species